GAUGAAGAACGUAGCGAAAUGCGAUAAGUAGUGUGAAUUGCAGAAUUCCGUGAAUCAUCUAAUCUUUGAACGCACAUUGCGCCUUCUGGUAUUCCGGAAGGCAUGCCUGUUCGAGAGUCAUUAACAACCGUUUCGAUCCCUUUCUUUCAGAAAUUACAAAGAGGAAAAGGGUUUGGUUAUGGUGGAGGAGGGAAAGGGAGCGUUUAGCCUGUAAAAAAAGAGGCUGUGUUCCGCCUCCCCCCCAAAAUUGUACAGGCGGUCGUGUGCGCCCACGCAUCGAGGUGUUGUAAAAGCUGCCACGGCACUUUUCACCUGUGCAGUGCGAGAUUGGCCAGCCGGUUUAAAAACCCCUCCAAACAAGCAAAGGUUGACCUCGGAUCAGGUAGGGAUACCCGCUGAACUUAAGCAUAUCAAUAAGCGGAGGA
rnacentral:misc_RNA from 1 species